AGGACAACAUUGCAUUUCGGAUAAGGGCUAUUCGGAAACAAUAAUAUGGGUGAGCUAUUAGCCAUGCUGCUUUUGUUUGGGAAAUUCGACAGUUGUUUUGCAGACAUGAACACCCCCCACCGCCCCCCACCAAACGGAAGAUGUUAACUACUUGACAGUGGAGACCCAGGCCUCCUGGAGUCUCAGGCCUGAUAACGUUGACCCCUGUGACCACACCCUGUUACCUCACCAUCUGCCAGUCAGAGGACCGUGCACCAGCAUGCAGACCCCAGAUGUGUUGGAACCGGAAGGCUGAUGAUGCUGACUCCCAUUACCCCUGGAGAAGAGAACAACAACCCCUUCCAGUAUUCUUUCCUGGAGAAUUCCAUGGACAGAGGAGCCUGGUGGGCUACAGUUCAAGGAGUUGCAAAGGGUCGGACACGACUGAGCUCACCCACAGUCCCAUUACCUCACUACCAACCAAUCAGAAGAACGCCCACGAGCUGAUCACGCCCUCCUUGAUCCAUUACUAUAAAACUCCUCACUUCCCCCUCCAGGUUUGGGACACAGCUUUGAGGGCAUCAUCCUGUUGUGGCCCCUUUUGCCUGGCAAAGCAAUAAAGCUAC